AUUCAGAGAAGCAGCACUGUUCCACUUUCUGAAUUGCAGCACCUCUGUUUUAUCUAGAGAAGAAAAUACUUUAGGAAAAGAAAACAGCUCCCGACGCUAGCCACAUCCCUCGAGCCCCUUGCGGAUUGGACAUAUGUGCCACUGCACCCGCUGUCCUCUGAGUGGCUCCAUUAUUCUGUCAGCUUUGAUUAUCUGUCUGCCAACCUGCUCACAUUUUAUAAUGUAGAGAAUUAGUUACAAUUUCUUGUGAUGGCUUCUCCAGUGAUUUGCUUUAUUGGUGCCUGUGGAUGCCGAGGGGGCUUUCAGUCACAGCUCUUGAUACUGUCACAUUCCAGACUACUGAGGACUGGAACUACUCUCCUGGCAGAUGAUGCCCACAGAAUCAAGGCGGUGGGGUGGCUUCACCUGCCUCUGGUAAAGCUGUGGAAGGUAGAGAGCACAUCGCUACAAAUCCAGGAUCUGCAGUGAAAGGACUGGAGGAGGAGGAACACUCCACAGGCUUGAUAUUUGGAAACUAACUUUUUUUUUUCUCCGUGGCAAGUCUAUACUGAAACUUUAGAGACAUCAUUAACUGAGUCAGCUACCAUGAAAGUCUGGCAUCCUGUUUUCCUUUCGUAGUGUGCCCGCCUGACCUUCCCCCAGGAGAUGCCUACCAAGAGUUGCACAGAUGGCAGUCCCCAACACUGAAGAGCUAAGUCAGAUAUGAGUUUCCCUGUGGGCGAUCCAGAAUCCUAAUAGCAGAACGAGAGCUGAACCUGAAAAGCGAGAAGCCUUUUGGUCUCAUUGGAACUCAACACCAUUAGUAUCUAGAUGCACACGUGGAUACGUGAUACAUGGCGUAGUUAUCACUGGUAUCACUCAUCUUGCAAAAGGGAUUUUGUGUCAUUUUGGCUGACUUCUAUUGCCAUUUGUAUUGUAAUUCUGCAUUUAAUAAAGAAACAUUGUAGACGUGA